rnacentral:ribozyme from 1 species
AAAACAAAAAAAGCAAAGAUUUCUUUCUUUUUUUGGCUUUUAUUUACCGACCGCAAACGCCAAAAAAGGAAAUAAAACUUUCUCAUCUUCGUUUUUAGAUUCUUGUC